AGGACGAACGCUGGCGGUGUGCUUCACACAUGCAAGUCGAACGAGGUAGCAAUACCUAGUGGCGGACGGGUGAGUAACGCGUGGGAAUCUGCCUUUAGAUGGGGGAUAACGGGUCGAAAGACUCGCUAAUACCGCAUAUGACGAAAGUUGAAAGGAGUAAUCCGUCUAAAGAUGAGCCCGCGUCCGAUUAGCUAGUUGGUAGAGUAAAAGCCUACCAAGGCGACGAUCGGUAGCUGGUCUGAGAGGAUGAUCAGCCACAAUGGGACUGAGACACGGCCCAUACUCCUACGGGAGGCAGCAGUGGGAAUUUACGCAAUGGGCGAAAGCCUGACGUAGCGACACCGCGUGAGCGAAGAAGCCCCUUGGGGUGUAAAGCUCUGUCAGCUGGAACGAAAAGAUGACGGUACCAGCAGAGGAAGCAUCGGCUAACUACGUG
rnacentral:rRNA from 1 species